GUAGGUGAACCUGCGGAAGGAUCAUUAAUGAGUCAGGGUCUUCAGGCCUGAAACUCCAACCCUAUGUAUAUCUACCACGUUGCUUUGGCGGGCCCGUCUUAACCGACCGUGGGAGGCUGGUCUUCUCGCCAGUGCCCGUCAGUAGCCCUUUUAAAUUCGUUAUAAUAGUGAUGUCUAAGUCUAAAUUAAAUCGUUAAAACUUUCAACAACGGAUCUCUUGGUUCUG
rnacentral:misc_RNA from 1 species